AACGCACAUUGCACCUUUUGGUAUUCCGAAAGGUAUACUUGUUCGAGCGCCGUUUUCAUAAUUCAAGCUAUUGCUUGGUGUUGAAUUGGUUUCUAUGGAAACCAUUCGAAACUCUUAGGCAUUGGAAGUCCAAGAUCUAAAGCAUGACUGCUAAAAAUCUAGCUGUUCAAUUGCCAAUUGAAAACAUCUUGAUGGCCUCGGAUCAAGUAAGGUUACCCGCUGAACUUAA
rnacentral:misc_RNA from 1 species